rnacentral:rRNA from 1 species
UACGUAGGGGGCUAGCGUUGUCCGGAUUUAUUGGGCGUAAAGAGCGCGCAGGCGGUCGUUCAAGUCGAGUGUGAAAGCCCCCGGCUCAACUGGGGAGGGUCAUUCGAUACUGAUCGACUUGAAGGCAGGAGAGGGAAGCGGAAUUCCCGGUGUAGUGGUGAAAUGCGUAGAUAUCGGGAGGAACACCAGUGGCGAAGGCGGCUUCCUGGCCUGUUCUUGACGCUGAGGCGCGAAAGCUAGGGGAGCAAACAGG